rnacentral:rRNA from 1 species
GGUUGCGAUCAUACCAGCACUAAUGCAACCGGAUCCCAUCAGAACUCCGCAGUUAAGCGUGCUUGGGCGAGAGUAGUACUAGGAUGGGUGACCCCCUGGGAAGUCCUCGUGUUGCAACCC